rnacentral:tRNA from 1 species
CCAGGUAGCUCAGUUGGUAGAGCAGGGGAUUGAAAAUCCCCGUGUCGGCGGUUCGAUUCCGUCCCUGGCC